rnacentral:rRNA from 1 species
UACGUAGGGUGCAAGCGUUGUCCGGAAUUAUUGGGCGUAAAGAGCUCGUAGGCGGUCUGUCGCGUCGGCUGUGAAAACUCGGGGCUCAACCCCGAGCCUGCAGUCGAUACGGGCAGACUAGAGUGCGGUAGGGGAGACUGGAAUUCCUGGUGUAGCGGUGAAAUGCGCAGAUAUCAGGAGGAACACCGGUAGCGAAGGCGGGUCUCUGGGCCGUAACUGACGCUGAGGAGCGAAAGCGUGGGGAGCAAACAGG